AUACGGGGGGUGCAAGCGUUGUCCGGAAUCAUUGGGCGUAAAGGGUUCGUAGGUGGAAUUAUAAGUCUGGUGUGAAAGCCCACAGCUCAACUGUGGAACUGCACUGGAUACUGCUUUUCUUGAGUUAUAGAGGGGUUUGUGGAAUUUCUGGUGUAGAGGUGAAAUUUGUAGAGAUCAGAAAGAACACCGGUGGCGAAGGCGACAAACUGGCUAUUAACUGACACUGAGGAACGAAAGCGUGGGGAGCGAACAGGAUUAGAAACCCCAGUAGUCC
rnacentral:rRNA from 1 species